UACGAAGGGGGCUAGCGUUGCUCGGAAUCACUGGGCGUAAAGCGCACGUAGGCGGAUUGUUAAGUCAGGGGUGAAAUCCUGGAGCUCAACUCCAGAACUGCCUUUGAUACUGGCGAUCUUGAGUCCGGGAGAGGUGAGUGGAACUGCGAGUGUAGAGGUGAAAUUCGUAGAUAUUCGCAAGAACACCAGUGGCGAAGGCGGCUCACUGGCCCGGUACUGACGCUGAGGUGCGAAAGCGU
rnacentral:rRNA from 1 species